GGCUCAGAUUGAACGCUGGCGGCAGGCCUAACACAUGCAAGUCGAGCGAGAAAGGUCUUCGGACUGAGUACAGCGGCGGACGGGUGAGUAAUGCGCAGGAAUCUACCUGGUAGUGGGGGAUAACUCGGGGAAACUCGAACUAAUACCGCAUACGCCCUACGGGGGAAAGCGGGGGGCCUUCGGGCCUCGCGCUAUCAGAUGAGCCUGCGUAGGAUUAGCUUGUUGGUGAGGUAAAGGCUCACCAAGGCGACGAUCCUUAGCUGGUCUGAGAGGAUGAUCAGCCACACUGGAACUGAGACACGGUCCAGACUCCUACGGGAGGCAGCAGUGGGGAAUAUUGCGCAAUGGGCGAAAGCCUGACGCAGCCAUGCCGCGUGUGUGAAGAAGGCCCUUGGGUUGUAAAGCACUUUCAAUUGGGAAGAAAGGUUGCGUGUUAAUAGCACGUAGCUGUGACGUUACCUUUAGAAGAAGCACCGGCUAACUCCGUG
rnacentral:rRNA from 1 species